CCUACGGGCGGCAGCAGUGGGGAAUAUUGCACAAUGGGGGAAACCCUGAUGCAGCAACGCCGCGUGAAGGAAGACGGUCCUAGGAUUGGAAACCUCUGUUCUUAGUGAAGAAUAAUGACGGUAGCUAAGGAGCAAGCCACGGCUAACUACGUGCCAGCAGCCGCGGUAAUACGUAGGUGGCAAGCGUUGUCCGGAAUUACUGGGUGUAAAGGGAGCGCAGGUGGGUAGCCAAGUCAGCUGUGAAAACUACGGGCUUAACUUGUAGAUUGCAGUUGAAACUGGUUUUCUUGAGUGAAGUAGAGGUUGGCGGAAUUCGUGGUGUAGCGGUGAAAUGCGUAGAUAUUCGGAAGAACACCGAUGGCGAAGGCAGCCAACUAGGCUUUGACUGACGCUGAGGCUCGAAAGUGUGGGGAGCAAACAGGAUUAGAUACCCCAGUAGUC
rnacentral:rRNA from 1 species